UGGGUUGACCAAAAAGUUCGUUUGGGUUUUUCCAAGCAUCUUAUGGAAAAACCCAAACAAACUUUUGGGCCAACCCA
rnacentral:miRNA from 1 species